rnacentral:rRNA from 1 species
ACGGAAGGCAGCAGUGAGGAAUAUUGGUCAAUGGACGGAAGUCUGAACCAGCCAAGUCGCGUGAAUGAAGACGGUUCUAUGGAUUGUAAACUUCUUUUGCCAGAGGGUAAAAUGAGGGACGCGUCCCUUAUUGCAAGUAUCUGGUGAAUAAGCAUCGGCUAACUCCGUGCCAGCAGCCGCGGUAAUAUGGAGGAUGCGAGCGUUAUCCGGAUUUAUUGGGUUUAAAGGGUGCGUAGGCGGGAUGUUAAGUCAGCGGUGAAAGUUUGCGGCUCAACCGUAAAAUUGCCGUUGAAACUGGCGUUCUUGAGUGUAGACGAGGUUGGCGGAAUGUAACGUGUAGCGGUGAAAUGCUUAGAUAUGUUACAGAACCCCGAUUGCGUAGGCAGCUGACCAGCAUACAACUGACGCUGAGGCACGAAAGCGUGGGUAUCAAACAGGAUUAGAUACCCUGGUA